rnacentral:rRNA from 1 species
GACGAACGCUGGCGGCGUGCUUAACACAUGCAAGUCGAACGGUAAGGCCCUUCGGGGUACACUAGUGGCGAACGGGGGAGUAACACGCAGGUGAUCUGCCCUGCACUUCGGGAUAAGCCUGGGAAACUGGCACUAAACCCGGAUAGGACCACUGCCGGCACUGGUGGUGGUGGAAAGCUUUUGCGGUGUGGGAUGGGACCGCGGCCUAUCAGAUUGUUGGUGGGGUGAUGGCCUACCAAGGCGACGACGGGUAGCCGGGGUGAGAGGGUGACCGGCCACACUGGGACGGAGAUACGGCCCAGAAUCCUACGGGAGGCAGCAGUGGGGAAUAUUGCACAAUGGGCGCAAGCCUGAUGCAGCGACGCCGCGUGAGGGAUGAUGGCCUUCGGGUUGUAAACCUCUUUCUUCGGGGACGAUAAUGACGGUAACCGAGGAGGAAGCCACGGCUAACUACGUGCCAGCCGCCGCAGUAA